AAGUGGUCACAGUGAGGAAAAACCUCCUGAAAAGCGGAAGGUCGGCGGUUCGACCCCGCCCCUGACCACCA
rnacentral:tRNA from 1 species